rfam:Sebaldella termitidis ATCC 33386, complete genome.
CGCGGAGUAGAGCAGUCUGGUAGCUCGUCGGGCUCAUAACCCGAAGGUCGUUGGUUCAAAUCCAGCCUCCGCAA